rnacentral:rRNA from 1 species
AUUGAACGCUGGCGGCAGGCCUAACACAUGCAAGUCGAGCGAGCGGCGGACGGGUGAGUAAUGUAUGGGGACUGUCCGUUAGAGGGGGAUAACUACUGGAAACGGUGGCUAAUACAGCAUACUGUCGGAUAACCCAUAUGGGAUGAGCUAGUAGGUAAGGGAAUGGCUUACCUAGGCGACGAUCCCUAGCUGGUCUGAGAGGAUGAUCAGCCACACUGGGACUGAGACACGGCCCAGAAGCCUACGGAGGCAGCAGUGGGGAAUAUUGCACAAUGGGCGCAAGCCUGAUGCAGCCAUGCCGCGUGUAUGAAGAAGGCCCUAGGGUUGUAAAGUACUUGCAGUCGGGAGGCGUUACCGACAGAAGAAGCACCGGCUAACUCCGUGCCAGCCGCCGCGGUAAUAC